rnacentral:misc_RNA from 1 species
UUAUAGGGCAAUCAGCAUAAGA